rnacentral:rRNA from 1 species
GUGUCAGCAGCCGCGGUAAUACAGAGGGUGCAAGCGUUGUUCGGAAUUACUGGGCGUAAAGGGCUUGUAGGCGGCCGACUCAGUUAGACGUGAAAUCCCUCGGCUCAACCGGGGAACGGCGUCUGAUACUAGUUGGCUUGAAUCCGGGAGAGGGAUGCGGAAUUCCAGGUGUAGCGGUGAAAUGCGUAGAUAUCUGGAGGAACACCGGUGGCGAAGGCGGCAUCCUGGACCGGCAUUGACGCUGUAAAGCGAAAGCCAGGGGAGCAAACGGGAUUAGAUACUCCCGUAGUCC